UUCUGAUCGCUGGUUUUGUUUAAUUAGUAUGUGUGGUGGCAUUAUUCCACACGAUUAGUCAAGUCUCUUUGAUGUGUUUUCUCCACUUUGUGUUUCUUUUGCUGGGGUGGCUGUGGCGUAGUGGAGAGCAAGGUAGUUCUCCAAUCAGAGGGUUGGUGGUUCGAUACCCGGCUUCGGCAGUCGAUGUGUCCUUGGGCAAGACACUUAACCCCAAGUUGCUCCUGAAGGCCAUCGGUGUGGACUGGAUGAUGAAUGUUAGUUAGAGUCUGAUGGUGGCACCUUGAUGGUAGCCUGUCAUCAGUGUGUGAAUGGGUGAAUGAUAUGUAAUAUACUACUGACUGUAAGUCGCUUUGGAUGAAAAGCGUCUGCUAAAUGACUCUAAUGUAAUGUAAUGUAAUGUAACGCAACAAGAAAAUGUUUUCUAUUGAAACAUUAAAGGAAGUUUGAUACUAAGAAGACUGUAACUUUGGAGGAUGAGAAAGAGGAACGAUAACAUCAAACUAGAAAGAUUCGCAAUAAAUUUUGACUGUGUGGCUGCUACUGCCCGAAGACGUUGCAUAUAUUUACAGUUCUGAGACAGCUGUAUCAAUGAGGUUCAUUUAGGGUUAGUUUGAGGUUCAUUUGAGGUUAAUUUGAAAAAAGAAAGUAAGUCCAAUCGCAUAAAUAAUACUAGAAAAUGCAUUUACUGCAGAAAAUGCGUUGCACAGAGCAUUGCUGAAAAUGUGGAAGUUUCAAAUGACUGAGGAAGCCCAAAAGCCAAGAACUGCACUGUUGAAAAAAAGCUGGUAGUUGAAUUGUAAAACUGGCAGAGAUGGAAGCUGAACUGCUUCAUCAAAAGAAGCAAAGAGCUGAAAUACAAUGAAGAAAAAGCUGGAAACUGAACUGUUAAACUGUAGUAUCAGUGGUUUAGUAAAAGAAACCGUCUAAUCAGAAAUAGUAGGAGGAGAAGAAAUUGUUGUAGUAUUGUAAAAAAAAAUACCUGAUGACUCACAGACAAGUUCGCAGCAUAACCCCUUUAAAAGUUUAAAUUAAAAUAAUCAUCUUUUUGCAUUUGUACAGACUGAUAAAUGCUAAAACACUGACAGGAAGUACUCAUUCUCUCUCCGUGAAUACGGAAGGAAGUUUAUUUAUAAAAGCGUUUUUUUGAAACUCCUUUGCAACACUUUCAAUUUGAUUUACACAGAAACGGAAACCUAAAAAGGAGUGGCACAGACUCUCACAAACAAAGAGAUCAGACACCUAACGGCUGCAGACUGACUGAGGAUGAUGAAGAUGACAGGAAGAGUCCUGAUGUGUGUAGCUCUGCUCCUGCUCCUGUCCUCUGUGUCGGCUGUACAGAGACACCUCGAUUCAAUCAACGAUUUGAAGAAAAUCGACUUUGAUCAAUCUGUGUCCAAACACAGUCUUGUGUUGCUCUACUGGUUUGCCAACGCAGUGGAUAUUGAUUCUAACAAUAACAUGUGGCUGACCUUUGACCCGAACAGAGGAGAGUAUAGCUCACAUCCUUAUCACAACUCUGAGGGACUGUUGGAGCCACUGCCUCGGGGAAAUGAUUACCAGUACUUCACUAUUGGCAAUCUCUAUCAAAUAACAUCCAGGCAACUUCCUCCUUAUGUUGCCCGUCCUCCAUCAGGGUAUGUGGGAAGAAACAGGGACCGGAUCAUAAUUCGUGUCAGAGAGCAGAACACAGGAUUGCGAGCUUCACAGAGGAUAGACCAAGUUUAUAUCACACAGCAUUAUGAAAAUCUUGGUACAGCGUAUGAUCCAGAUCAUACCUACAGGAUCACUAUCAACCUCUUGAGACAGAUCAGAGAGUUUUCUGUGGGAGGAAACCAACAGCAACUGCUGCAGCUCAGAAACCGCUUUGGAAGCAACGCUGAUGUUCUCCACAUCACAAACACAUGGGGUGAACUUGCUUCCUUGGACUGCUGCUGUUUAUUGUGAUCCAGGAAAAAAACUCCUCUAACCAACAAAACAAAAGACCAAAAAACAGAAGAAGUCCUUUGGAUGAUAAUUCGGACAGAGAGACCAAUGUUCCUAGCGGUUCUAGAAACCAAGGUGACGUUGUAUUGAACAUCAGUGAUGAUGAAGACCAAAAUGUGAGCAGGACGACUUGGAACAGAGAAUCCCACUUUCACAAUACCUCAGUACCCCAGAACGACUGCCAGUGGUCGUUCUGUUGUGAAUAUGUUUGCAGUGUCAUAUGCUUAAUUGCAUUGGGUGCUAUAUUAUUGUUCUUUUUUGGAUACAAGUUAUUAAGAUAAGUAAAAAUGAAAUAAAACGUCAUAUAUUGCAAAGGAAAUUGCUUUGCAACAGUUGCAAUACAAAGUGGAAAGAGUGCAAAUAUUAAAGUCUAAGAUAACGAUAAGGUGCAAAUAAGGCAAAAUGUGGUUCAGAGUAUAGAUGAUGAAAACAAACAGGUUAAAAGGUUUGGGUCAGUCUACGUAGGGUUGCAUUUAGACAUGCAUGUACAGUAUCAGAUCUAAAGUAUAGGUGUUACAGCCACAGUCUUCCCCCUGUGCUCUGGCCUUGGUGUGUGUGUUUGUAGUACAUUGCAUAUGUGGAGACUCUCUCAGUUGAUUGGACCAAGAACCUGAUUGGUGUUCCAGGAAGUCUGAUGUGCGAAUCAGAAGAAGGAAGGCUCUUUAGGAGGAGUAUAAAGUCUGGGCCGAGGCUUCACUCGAGGCGUGGCUGUUGUUCUUCAAGCGCCCCACAUACCUCUCAUGCCUGACUGUUAAAUGCAUUUUAUGCAAAUUGGUCCAAAGUACUAGUCACACCCUUGGGACGGGGCCAGGUCAGUUUAUAUAAAACUGACCUCACAAAUAUAUGUCUUUGAAAUGUAUGUUAUAAACACUAGGGACAGGUGGUGGUGCUUCCCUGUAUUUUUGGUUGAAGAGUUAGAAUUGAAAGUUAACUUGUGUGUAUCUAAAGAGCUCCUUUUUGUAAAUAAAUAACUUUGUGAACCUUAAAA